rnacentral:rRNA from 1 species
GAGUCAUUGGGACUCUGUUAAACCUAAAGGCGCAAUGAAAGUAAAGGUCCGCCUAGCGCGGACCGAGGGAGGACGGGCUAGUCUUCGGGCUGGCCCCGCACUCCCGGGGCGUCUCGUCCUCAUCGUGAGGAGAGGCGCACCCAGAGCGUACACGCUGGGACCCGAAAGAUGGUGAACUAUGCCUGGUCAGGACGAAGUCAGGGGAAACCCUGAUGGAGGUCCGUAGCGAUUCUGACGUGCAAAUCGAUCGUCGGAACUGGGUAUAGGGGCGAAAGACUAAUCGAACCUUCUAGUAGCUGGUUCCCUCCGAAGUUUCCCUCAGGAUAGCUGGCGCUCGCCUUUGCGAGUCUCAUUCGGUAAAGCGAAUGAUUAGAGGCAUUGGGGUCGAAACGGCCUCAACCUAUUCUCAAACUUUAAAUGGGUGAGAUCUCCGGCUUGCUUGAAGCGUGAAGCCGCGAGAUAUCGGAUCACAGAGUGCCAAGUGGGCCACUUUUGGUAAGCAGAACUGGCGCUGUGGGAUGAACCAAACGCCGAGUUAAAGCGCCAAAAUCGACGCUUAUGGGAUACCAUGAAAGGCGUUGGUAACUUAAGACAGCAGGACGGUGG